rnacentral:rRNA from 1 species
AUUGAACGCUGGCGGCAUGCCUUACACAUGCAAGUCGAACGGCAGCACGGGUGCUUGCACCUGGUGGCGAGUGGCGAACGGGUGAGUAAUAUAUCGGAACGUACCUUAUUGUGGGGGAUAACGCAGCGAAAGCUGUGCUAAUACCGCAUAAUCCCUAAGGGGGAAAGCGGGGGACCGUAAGGCCUCGCGCAAUUAGAGCGGCCGAUACCUGAUUAGCUAGUUGGUGAGGUAAAGGCUCACCAAGGCAACGAUCAGUAGCUGGUCUGAGAGGACGAUCAGCCUCACUUGGACUGAGGCACGGCCCAGACUCCUACGGGAGGCAGCAGUGGAGAAUUUUGGACAAUGGUGGCAACCCUGAUCCAGCAAUGCCGCGUGAGUGAAGAAGGCCUUCGGGUUGUAAAGCUCUUUUGUCAGGGAAGAAACAGCAGCUCUAACACAGUUUGCGAAUGACGGUACCUGAAGAAUAAGCACCGGCUAACUACGUGCCAGCCGCCGCGGUAA